rnacentral:rRNA from 1 species
CGUGUAGGCGGUUGCCCAAGUCCGAUGUGAAAGCCCGAGGCUUAGCCUCGGAAGUGCAUCGGAAACUAGGCAGCUGGAGCGCGAUAGAGGAGGGUAGAAUUCCUGGUGUAGCGGUGAAAUGCGUAGAUAUCAGGAGGAAUACCGGCGGCGAAGGCGGCCCUCUGGAUCGUUGCUGACGCUGAGACGCGAAAGCGUGGGGAGCAAACAGGAUUAGAUACCCUGGUAGUCCACGCUGUAAACGAUGGGUACUAGGUGUUCGGGGUAUUGACCCCCUGAGUGCCGCAGUUAACGCAUUAAGUACCCCGCCUGGGGACUACGGCCGCAAGGUUAAA